UGGGGAAUUUUGGACAAUGGGCGCAAGCCUGAUCCAGCCAUGCCGCGUGCGGGAAGAAGGCCUUCGGGUUGUAAACCGCUUUUGUCAGGGAAGAAACGCUCUGGGCUAAUACCCUGGGGUAAUGACGGUACCUGAAGAAUAAGCACCGGCUAACUACGUGCCAGCAGCCGCGGUAAUACGUAGGGUGCAAGCGUUAAUCGGAAUUACUGGGCGUAAAGCGUGCGCAGGCGGCUCCUUAAGUCAGAUGUGAAAUCCCCGGGCUUAACCUGGGAACUGCGUUUGAAACUGAGGGGCUAGAGUGUGGAAGAGGGGGGUGGAAUUCCAGGUGUAGCAGUGAAAUGCGUAGAGAUCUGGAGGAACACCGAUGGCGAAGGCAGCCCCCUGGGCUAACACUGACGCUCAUGCGCGAAAGCGUGGGUAGCAAACAGGAUUAGAUACCCGUGUAGUCCCUGAGCGGGCUGGCAAGGCGCAU
rnacentral:rRNA from 1 species